rnacentral:lncRNA from 1 species
UGUCCCAGCUCCUGGCCUUCCGGGCGCACCCCCGGCAGCAGCAGGGAUGCCCCAUGGGUUCCAACCGCUAGCCCCGGCCCCCGGCAGUCCCAAAGCAGCCCGGGAGGUUCGAGGGGGCGGGCCCCGGGAGGGGGCGGAUCCGGAGGGCCCGGCCCAGCGGGCGGGCCCGCUCCCCUCCCCCCCGAGCGGAGCCCCCCGCCGGGGCCGAAUCCCGCGCGCCGCGCUCCGGGGCUCCUCCGGCUGCGCUUGGCGCCGGAGCUCGGCCGCCGCCGCUGCUGUCCGACGUGUCACUGCGAGGGCCCCGCCCCCAGGGGCGGGGUCUCCGGCUCCGGCUACCGGAGAGGGCGGAGAGGGGGGAGGUUAAAGGGGAAGGACCCCCGGAAGUGCCCCCUCCUCAGCGUGCGAGAGGGAGACGCCGGGGGGCGGAGUCGCCCGCCUCCCCCCGCCGGUUGGUGCGUCCCGGGUGACGUCAGAGGCAGCCCUCCCCUGCCGGUGGUGCGCCCUGAGUGACGUCAGGAGCCGCGGCCGGAGCUGUCCAUCAGCACCAGAGGCCUCGGGCGGGCUCAGGGCAUGGGGCCGCGGCUCUGGGGCAGCCCGAGCCCUUGCUCCUGCUCCUCUCCCUUUCCCAGGCCCGGUCCAAGUGCCCGGACGCCGCGGGACUGGAGUGCCAGGCGGUGUUGGAGGUGGAGCGGCGACGGCGCCGCGCAGAGACCGGGCUCCGCGGCCCAGCAGCCCCCUGCCCCACACGACGGACUUUCCCAGGACCUCAGUCAGUGGGAGCCUCUGGCGCCCCGCGACCCCGGCCCCUCCGGCGCCCGCUCGGCCGCUUUGGCUCAGAAGCUCAGGUCGCCUCCAGCGCAGGUGGACCUGGGAGGGUGACCCCUCUGGCUUCCCAGCACUAUGCCGGGCACUGCGGCGACACUGCGAUUCCAGCUGCUCCCCCCCGAGCCAGACGAUGCCUUCUGGGGUGCGCCUUGUGAACAUCCCCUGGAGCGCAGGUACCAGGCGCUGCCGGCCCUCGUCUGCAUCAUGUGCUGUUUGUUUGGAGUCGUCUACUGCUUCUUCGGUGAGAUCCCCGGCUCAUCCCUCACUUGUUUUCCCAAGUUCUUUCUCUGCCCUCUUCCACUCUUUUCCAGAACCCACUACCACCACUGUGAGCGACUUGCUUUUCUGUCUUUCAUCCCACAGCGUUUGUAAGUCUUCUAGACUCUAGAGAACACAGGUUUUUGAAUUGGACACACUUGAGUUUGAACUUGGCUUUGCACUUUACUAACUGUAAUGCCUUGGGCAUAGUAACCUGAGCCUCAGUUUUCUCAUCUGAACAGUGGGGACAAUGACAUUUGUCUUACAUUAGGUCGUUAGAAAAAUUAGUAGGUGCUAAGUAGAAGCAAUUUUUAAAGAUUUGUUUGAAUCAUUACUCUAAGAAGGCACUGACAAUUCUCAGGAGAGUCAUUAAGCCUGAUCCCUUACCACAGGGCAUAUUGUCUGGUGGGGAGAGACUCCUGAAACAGUGACACCUGUGACAUGGGCCAGAGUGGGCCGGGUGGCAGCCACACACACAGAGAUUCCCUACCAGGCAGGCUGGAGCAAUCAGGCAGGCUGUGAACAGUUGUACAGGAUGAGUACUGCACAAGAAAGCUCAGUUGUAUGGGCAAGAGGGGGUUGAAAUCUGGCUUGUGCUCUACUCACAGUCCAGGCUGCUUUCCCUUUCUCUAAUUUGCACAAAGGUGUCACAUGGACUAGUGGGAGCCUGGAAUGAGUGGUCAGUGGUUCUACAGAAAGCGUUAACUGAACUUCAGAGAGGACAGUGGGUGCCACGGACUGGGGGUCCAAGGGAAGCCUGUGGUAGGAGGACUGUGGAUCAGAACUGGCGCAGGCAAAGGAGGCUGGGAAGUUUGGGUUUUAGACCAGGCAGAAAUGGGGCAAGACUUGUGCUCUGCCCCCUCCAUCCCUCCUCCUGGAAUGGGUGGGCAGACAGGGAUGGGAGCCAGACAGUCCUUUCCACCCCCAGACUCUGGGCUGACUAGCUGCAGAGUGGGUAGGAUGCAGUACCCCCGCUAGGGUGCAGGAUGCACUCCGGGCCUCCAGGGAGUCUGUGUCCUCUCACCUCUGCUAGCCACAUGCAGCCCCUCUGCCCUCUGCCUGGCGCUUGGUGCAGCCCUGUAUCCCUGUCCCGGGUUCCCAGCACCCUGCCCCUCUGCAAUGCUUCCACU